rnacentral:lncRNA from 1 species
AUCUAGCUUACAACGUCAACAGAGAAAGUCGAUGAAAAUAUAUUGACAAAAAUGUAUCCUUGAUCACAUCACAUUGAUAUGGCAGAGUUAUCUCAAGGAGCGUUAAACUCUGGGUCAGUCUGUAAACGUUGCAGCGCAAAAAACGUUACAUCUACAGCAGUAUGCUUCUGCAAAGAAUGCACGGACUAUUUAUGUAAAAAACAUUUAGAUAAACACAAAAGAGACCAAAAGACAAGAAAACAUACAAUUCUUCCUAUGGAACACAAAAACGACCUUAAACACAGGAAAGAAUCGACAGAACAUACAACAAAUAAGUCAGGGGUACAUGAUGUAGAAUGCUCAUCGGAUUUUCUAUCAAAUGUUAAUUCAUCAUUUGAUAUCAACCAACGGCAGCAGGUAA